UACAACUGCCUGCCUGGAGAGGGCAUCAGUUU
rnacentral:piRNA from 1 species